UGGGGGAUAUUGCACAAUGGGCGCAAGCCUGAUGCAGCGACGCCGCGUGGGGGAUGAAGGCCUUCGGGUUGUAAACUUCUUUUGCUCUGAACAAGGCGCACUUUGGGGUGUGUUGAGUGUAGGGGUUGAUUAGCGCCGGCUAACUACGUGCCAGCAGCCGCGGUAAUACGUAGGGCGCGAGCGUUGUCCGGAAUUAUUGGGCGUAAAGGGCUUGUAGGUGGCUGGUUGCGUCUGUCGUGAAAGCUCAUGGCUUAACUGUGGGUUUGCGGUGGGUACGGGCUGGCUUGAGUGCAGUAGGGGAGGCUGGAAUUCCUGGUGUAGCGGUGGAAUGCGCAGAUAUCAGGAGGAAUACCGGUGGCGAAGGCGAGUCUCUGGGCUGUUACUGACACUGAGGAGCGAAAGCAUGGGGAGCGAACAGG
rnacentral:rRNA from 1 species